rnacentral:rRNA from 1 species
GACGAACGCUGGCGGCGUGCUUAACACAUGCAAGUCGAACGGAAAGGCCCUGCUUUUGUGGGGUGCUCGAGUGGCGAACGGGUGAGUAACACGUGAGUAACCUGCCCUUGACUUUGGGAUAACUUCAGGAAACUGGGGCUAAUACCGGAUAGGAGCUCCUGCUGCAUGGUGGGGGUUGGAAAGUUUCGGCGGUUGGGGAUGGACUCGCGGCUUAUCAGCUUGUUGGUGGGGUAGUGGCUUACCAAGGCUUUGACGGGUAGCCGGCCUGAGAGGGUGACCGGCCACAUGGGGACUGAGAUAGGGACCAGACUCCUACGGGAGGCAGCAGGGGGGAAUAUUGCACAAUGGGCGGAAGCCUGAUGCAGCAACGCCGCGGGCGGGAUGACGGCCUUCGGGUUGUAAACCGCUUUCGCCUGUGACGAAGCGUGAGUGACGGUAAUGGGUAAAGAAGCACCGGCUAACUACGUG